ACAGCCCCCUGCAGCGAGAGGAGGAGGCAGGAACAGAGAAGGACCACAGCCGCCAGGGGUGAGGCAGGUCACUGCACUCUCCCAGCCCCCAGCCCCCAGCGCCCAGGGCUAAGCACGAGGCAGGCCCAGUAAGCAGGAUGUGUCCCCUUCUCUGAGGAAAAACAUUCUUUCACUGUGAAAGUUAGAGCAUUGGCCGAAGAUCAGCCAUCAACUCCCCAGGACACUGAUGCUCUCUGUAAACAGGGUCUCCCAUGACCCAUUCUGUGGGCACUGCCAGGGUUCUGGACUCCCUCGCUGGAGAGCAAGGCGCCACGGUAGAAGCUGAGCCCGUCUGCAGGCCGUCUCUCACGCACCCCUGAGGUGCUGUCCACCUCGCACACACCUGAUCUUCCCUAUGCCUGGGAAGGCCUCAUCCACACCAAGGGGCCUGGGUUCCUCCGGCCCAGCGGUGGCUUCCUGGGCAGGUAGGAGCCUGCGGUCAUUAAUCAAUGGAAUGAAGCGUCAGCCUCAGCCUUUUCAUUUGUGAGCCUGGCCUGGGCUCUGGUGCAGAAGGGAUGUCCAUCAUGGACUGCAGCACAGCUCUCCCUCGGCCACCUUUGCUUUACGUAGUCACGGGAGCAGGCGAGGGCAGCGGAGCAUUCAUCGUAAGGUGCAUGUGCAUGCUUCCCCAGCUCCCGGCAGCUCAGGCCCGCGUCAUGGCCCCAACAGAGCUCCCAUGGCAGGCGCGGGUUGGAUUGUCCCUGGGCCAGCACCGCAUGAAUAUGAAUUUCUCCUGCAGCCUCUGUGCACACAUCUCCUUUCCUCCCUGGCUCAAUUUCAGGAACACAGACUUUGAGCCACUGACCUGGAGAGCUCACUGCUUUCUUGACAGUUUGAAAAGUGAGACCUCCCUCCUCUAACCUUCCCCCCUUCCUCCCUGGCUGGGGUCAGGGAACAGGCCCAGGUAAUCAGUUCCACCUCCCGGGACCCCCCAACACCUUAACCAAAAGCUGCCUUAUGAGGGGAUCUCUCAGGUGGCAGUGAGAGGGAGUCAGGUAGCUCUUUUAGGCACUUAGGGUGACUGGAACCCUGAAAGCAGGAAUAUUGAUGAUCUGACUUCUCAUCUGUUGCCCUGUUUUCCCACAAACAACCUAGGACCCCCCCACACUCCAGGAGGGAGGUGUUUCCUAGGAUUUAAAUCUAAUCCUAACAUUGU